UUUACGUGAAUUGCUUAUAACUGACCCCAUGUGACAGUCAAGGCCGUGUUCAGUGGUAAGUGCAUGUGGCCCUCUGUACUUUGUACACUCUCAGCAGGUGCAUCUAGAAUGUUUGGGACAUUUUCGUGAAAUAUAUAUAGCGUGUGUAUAGUUAACAGUAAUAUUAAUAGAUGACAUACAUAACCUAAGAAGAUUUUUACGGUCAUUUUGGAUUAUAUACACUACACACUUGUAUGGCUGCAGGGAUUUAUCCCGUUAUGAACUUGAUUUUGUAAUUAAUUUGAUUUUGGUAAAGCAUGUUUAUUGCAAUUCUCUUGCAUACAUUUAUAUUUAAAAAAAAUACAAUUGUAUAGCUCUAGGCUAUUUGCCGACAUUAUAAUGCAUGCUUAUACUUUUUAUAAUACAAUAUGCAUAUACGUGAUGAAAAAAAAAUAUAAUUUGCAUCAUUUAGAAACAACUCCAAAUGUAAUUAACAUCAGAUUUAAAUAGAUGACGUCACAUUUGCGUGAGGGAAACGUGGGUUCAGUAGACGCGCUUGAACACAGCCAAGAAACAGCUUCAUAGUUUAUAGGCUAGUGCAAAACAGAUUUAACACGAGUCCUUGUUAAAUAACAAUAAUACGAACAUUAUAAGCUAUGUGGGUCUUAUUUCUUAGUUGCAUAAUUUUUUGGGAGAAAAGUAAGAUUUAUAUUUAACUGUUUUCUAAAAGUCCUUACCUGUUGCAGUCUGCGCAAUUAUAAUGCACGAAGUGAAGAUGAAAUGAUGUUGGCAUGUGGAGGUGUGAUGACUGUCUCAUUGUUAGGGCCUAACGAAGAUACCAGAAGGGACAAAAUUCGUUUAAAUCGGAUUGAUGAAUGGAAAGUCUGACAAUAACUCCAAAGACUCAAUUUGAAACGCAUCCACACCGCCUCUUCAGGCCUAGACUAUUGUGGAUUGUGUCUUCACCACGUGCUGGAGAUCUGGAGAACCUCAUAAAUCAAUUCAACACUUGACUUGUUAACAGCAUUUACAGGUCUAUAAAAAAAGAUUGCAAUUUGAGUAAUUUAUUUAUUGCGCAUUAACCCUGUUUUCGUUCAUCAGGUCAACUCUAUGAGAUGUUCCACAUUAAAAAAAAGUGUUGACAGGAGGUAGUUGCUAUCUUUGGUUAUCUAGCUGUAUGAGUGUUUAUCUUCCUUCAUAAAGCUAGAUAACCGAAAGUAGAAACGUCCUCCUUAACUGCAUAGUGGACAAGUUGGGAAGGAAAUGAUCGCAGGGAACUGCAUGAGCCUCUCAAACUGCUUUGUCUUUGUGAGAGACCAGAGGACUGGAGCUAAGGGGAAAAACGCCAUCUGCAACUGCCAGCCAUUUACACUGCCUUUUUGGAGCAAGAGGGAGAGAGGAAAAAAAUAGUGCAAUUGUCCAAAUGAAAGAAAAGAAAAAUAAUAGUCAACCCUCAUCCUUCUUCUACCAGCUCCCCUCCCUUCUUCGUCAAUGGAAGCAUUUAGUGCCAUCUGUGCCCCCGGAGAAAAGAGGGAAAAAAGAAAAGAGUGAGACUCUUCAUCCCAAGUGCCAAUGGGGACAAAGAGGCUGCCAGUUGCCACGGACCACCAGAUGCAGGAAGACUGCAAGUCUGAAUGAGGGGUGUGCUUUCAGGAAGCCAUCUUGAUGGAGAAACUGGCUGCUGCUCCCUAAAAUGGCUGUGUUGGCAUGAGGCUCCUGGCAAUGAAACUCUAGAAAAAAUUUCCAUCGUUUUCAUCAGCUGCUGGAGAAACCAUGGCCAUCCUGCUAUGUUUGACUCAAAUGGUCAAACACAUCACCUCAGUAAUACAGCAUCCAGCAUCUCUUCCAGAUGGUUCGCUGUGAAAAUUUAACAAGCAGAUGAUUUCAAAUGUGCACUAAUUGUCUUAAAACUUUGCAGACAAUCAGUAAUACUGGAUGGGUGUGUGGACUUGGGCAGUUCACCUAGUUAACGUUGUUGUACAACGUGUUGUGCAAUCUUAUCAGUGCUGUGUAAACUGAAGCAUAAUGUGCCUUAAUGUGUGAAAAGUUUAUAACGAAAGUAGUUGUUAUAGAAACAUGUCAGUGCAAUCCCUAUUUAAAAAAAAUAGUAUUUUCAAUUACCUUUCAUGUUAGUCAUCCACAUUUAAUGUUAUUAUAUUAUAAACUGCACCCGUUGAUGUACAGAAAAUUGGUUAAUCCAGAUAUUUUGUAUGGCUACUGUAUGUAUGGUUUAAUACAAGAAUUAUGCUCAGUUUCUCUCUGAAUUAUCAUUUGUCUGAUUAUGAGAUAUGUGAAACUGCACAAAUAAACAACAUUGAAGC